AAAGAUUGCAUUUGUCUGUACACUGCAGGCGGCAAUUAUGAGCAGGAAAAUCUUUUGUGAAAGAUGGUGUGACCUUCCUUUUGGAGAAGGAGUGAUAAUGGCUUCUUGUGGAGGUGAAUUGGGAAGAGGUGACCCUCAGUUGGCUGUACUGCCUUUCUGCUAGCUGGGCAACACAGAAAGAAAAUGAAUGAAUGAAUGAAAUAAUGGAAGAACGACUGAGGUACUAGGCUGCUUCUCAGAGACCUCACACAUCCACAUCUUUGCUACACUUUGAGCCUCUUCUCUGUGAGAAUACACAUCUAUUGUAUUAAUAGAAAAGGCUAAGACCUACAGCUAACAAUAAAUCACACUAAACUUUGUGCUUCAAAUGGAUAACUCUGCAGAAUGUAAUGUUAAAAACACUGAAAUACAGGUUUUAUGAAUUCAUGACUGUGCUUGGUUAGGUAUAUUCUCAGUAAUGUGGGUUGUGGUUAGUGCUCUCUGGAAGAAGAGUUCUGAAUUGUAAAGGCUUCUUUUUAUCACAGGGGAACUAUUUUACUUGAAUCUGGCUUAUGAUGAUGGUAAAAAUCAGAUCUCCAAGGAACAUCUCUAAAAGAGAAAAUAAUCUGAUGCUUAAAAGAAUUUAAAUCUCUACUGACAAUCAAAAGAACUCUUGUCUCCUCCCCCUUAUUUUUCCAUUGUGUAUUUUUGGGUUGUCUGAGAACUACAGUUGUGAUUGUUAUGAUCUUUUCAGUCAUCAUGUUGCUCUGUGUAGGUUUUAUCUUACAGUUGAUAAGACGAUGAACAUUUUCUGAGAGAUCAAAGUGCUUACCAUAAUGAGAAAAACAUAUAUAACAACAGUUAUAUGGCAAGGGUAAGGAUUGCCUGAAGCAGAACAAAUUUCUACAGAUUGCCUGACAAUGUAAGAAUAAUACAGCACUACAA